rnacentral:rRNA from 1 species
GAGGGCUUAACUGUCUCCUGUAGCCAAUCAAUGAAAUUGAUCUCACAGUACAAAUGCUGUGAUACAACUAUAAGACGAGAAGACCCUGUGGAGCUUUAAACCUCCCACAUUAACUAAUUAUACUCAACUACCAUUAGUAUAACGUGAGUUUUAAGUUGGGGCGACUAUGGAGUAAAAAUUAACCUCCAAGUAAUACGAUUAAACCUCGUUACACACGGCUAACAAGCCCAGUCAAAACACACGACCCAGUAAAACUGACUAUCGAACCAAGUUACCCCAGGGAUAACAGCGCCAUCCCCUUAAAGAGUCCACAUCG